UCCACCCCGGACCCGCUGCCCCGGCAGCGUCCCACCGCCCAGCUAUGGGGCCGCUUCGCUGGCUGCCGCUGUUCGGCCAGCUGUUGCUGCUGUGGCCGCCGGCGGCCCGGCCCGCCGGCCCCAGCCGGGCCUUCGUGGUGCCCCACAGUCACAUGGACGUGGGCUGGGUCUACACGGUCCAGGAAAGCAUGCGGGCCUAUGCAGCCAAUGUGUACACUACCGUGGUGGCGGAACUGGUCCGCGAGGAGCAGCGCCGCUUCAUCGCCGUGGAGCAGGAGUUCUUCCGGCUGUGGUGGGACGGUGUGGCCUCUGAGCAGCAGAAACAGCAGGUCCGCCAGCUCCUGGAUGAAGGACGCCUGGAGUUUGUUCUCGGAGGCCAGGUCAUGCAUGAUGAGGCCGUGACCCACCUGGAUGACCAGAUCCUACAGCUCACAGAAGGACAUGGCUUUCUCUAUGAAACUUUUGGAAUCCGGCCACAGUUCUCCUGGCAUGUGGACCCCUUUGGUGCAUCGGCGACGACCCCUACCCUAUUUGCCCUGGCAGGCUUCAAUGCCCAUCUCAUCUCCCGGAUUGACUACAACCUCAAGGAUGCCAUGCAGGAAGCUCAGGGGCUGCAGUUCGUGUGGCAUGGGUCCCCAUCCCUGUCGGAGCAGCAGGAAAUCUUCACUCAUGUCAUGGACCAAUAUAGCUACUGCACCCCCUCACACAUCCCCUUCUCUAACAGGUCUGGAUUUUACUGGAAUGGUGUGGCCGUCUUCCCAGAGCCACCCCCAGACGGUGUGUAUCCUAACAUGAGCGAGCCUGUCACCGUAGCCAACAUCCACCUCUACGCUGAGGCGCUGGUGGCCAACGUUAAACAGAGGGCUGCGUGGUUCCAGACUCCCCACGUCCUCUGGCCCUGGGGAUGUGACAAGCAGUUCUUCAAUGCCUCCGUGCAGUUUGACAACAUGGACCCUCUGCUGGAGUACAUCAACAACCAUUCGGCCCAGUUUGGCAUCUCAGUGCAGUAUGCCACGCUGAAUGACUACUUCCAAGCCCUGCACGUCUCCAACAUGACGUGGGGCAUCCAUGACCACCAUGACUUCCUUCCCUAUUCUUCAGAGCCACGGCAGGCCUGGACCGGCUUCUACACAUCCCGCAGCACCCUCAAGGGUCUAGCGAGACAAGCCAGUGCCUUGCUAUAUGCUGGGGAGUCCAUGUUCACACGCUACAUGUGGCCAGACCCCCAUGGGACUCUGGACCCUACCUGGGCCCUGCAGCAGCUCCAACAGCUCCGCUGGGCUGUGUCUGAGGUCCAACACCAUGAUGCCAUCACAGGCACUGAAUCCCCCAAGGUGAAAAACAUGUACAUGGAACAUCUCAGAAUGGGGAUGCUGGGUGUCCACAAGCUGAUGACCUCCAUUGCCCUCAGGCCCCCGGUGGCUGGCACAGGCCUGCCUGGUCCAGCCUUUCCUCUCAAGCCCAGCUGGACUACAGGACCCCCCAGAGACAUCAUGGGGCCUCAAGUGACCCCUGUUCUCUCUGCAGACACGAGCCCUGUGGGAUACUCUGUCUCUGUCUACAACCCGCUGGCCUGGAAGAUCACCACCAUCAUCACCCUGACUGUCGCUUUCCCCAGUGUCAGUGUCACCGAUGAGUUAGGCCAUCCCGUGUCAGCACAGAUUCAGAACUCUACAAAGGACCCUUCUGCGUACGAGCUGCUCAUCCUGACCACCAUCCCAGGCCUCAGCUACCGGCACUACCAAGUCAGGCGCGCCCUCGAGGACCAGGCCGGCACCAGGGAGCUGGUCGCCCCAAGGGCCAGCACCCUCAAGUUUAGUCUCAAACUGAGAAACCAGACCAGCCAGGAAGGCAAGCUCCUAGUGCCUGUGACAAAUGACUGCUAUACUUUGCUGUUCGACCAGGACACCAACAUGUUACAUAGCAUUCAGGAUAGACAGAGCAACCACACAGUGCGCAUGACGCAAGAGUUCCUGGAGUACCAGGCCAAUGGAGAUGUGAAGCAGGGCCCCAUUUCUGACAACUACCUCUUCGCACCCAAGGAUGCUGCUGAGCCUUCCUGGGAAGCAGUGGGGAUGGAGAUGGUGGUGGGCUCGCUGGCAACGGACAUAAGGCAGUACUUCUACAGGAACAUAACAGGCCAGGAUUACAUCUAUUCCAUCAACACUCGUCUGGCCCAUGUGCAAGCAAGCCUCGCUGGGGAACUGCUCUGCCAACGGAUAGAGCAGCAGUACCGAGUGGGCCCCCUGGAUCUAAACCGUGAGGCCAUCCUGAGGACCAGCAGCAACCUAAACACCCAGCAAGUCCUCUACUCUGACAACAAUGGCUAUCAGAUGCAGCGGAGGCCCUACAAGGCUUUCAAGAGCAAUCCCAUCCCCCGGAAUUACUAUCCCAUGGUACAGUCGGCCUUCAUCGAGGAUGACAAGAACAGGCUGGUGCUGCUGGCAGAGAGAGCGCAUGGUGUCUCCAGCCAAGAGAAUGGGCAGGUGGAGGUAAUGCUCCAUCGGCGGCUGUGGAACAACCUGGCCUGGGACCUGAAGUACAACCUCACGCUGAAUGACACCUCCAUUGUCCACUCAGUGCUCUGGCUUCUGCUGGGGCCUAAAUCCACCAUGACUGCUCUGCACCCGAGGAGUGGGGUGGCUCUGCAGCACAGGCCCAUCAUUUUGUUAAAAGAGCUAGCUGAUGAGAAGACGCCGGUUCACAGACCUCAUAAUCCCUGGCCUGUGACAUUGCCCCCAAACCUGCACCUGCAGAUCCUCAGCAUACCUGGCUGGAAGUACAGCAGGAACCAUGCCCAACACCUGAAGAACCUUCAAAGAGGCCACCCAGGGAAGCCACAGGCCAACCUGUACCGUGUGCUACUGCGCCUGCGCCACCUGUAUGAAGCAGGAGAGGACCCGGUACUGUCUCGGCCUGCGACAGUGGAUCUCAAGGUAGCACUUGGAGGACUAGGGUCUGUAGUGGCCGUGGAGGAACGCUCACUCACAGGGACCUGGGAUGUGCAGACACUGCAGCGCUGGCACUGGAGGACAAAGGCUGGCCACCUAAAAGGCUACCCCACCUCACCACGAAGGUCACCAAGAGACUCCAUCGUCACUGUGUACCCCAAGGAAAUCCGGACCUUCUUCAUUCACUUCCAGCAGUGACAUCAAUGCAGUUGGCCCCAGAGACACAGAAUUGGAAUCCCCACCCCCCAAAAGCACCACGAAGACAGACCCAGAGGGAGGAAGGGGCAGGCUGCCCAUCCGACAGCCGUGUGGCGGAAAGUGGCCAUGUGGGAAAGGGAAUUCUCUCUUUAAUAAAAAUGAGGUCUGGAAUGUCUUGACAGUAUUUGCCUAGUAUCUACAGGCCCCGGAUUCAGUCCCUAGCACUCCUUAAG